rnacentral:misc_RNA from 1 species
CCAAAGGCAUCUUCCUCCAUAUUGCUAAAACAUGAACAAAACUGAUGUAGAAUAUAUAGUACAAAAUAUAUACUGUAUUGCAUACAAAACCACCUAUGGUAAACCAAAAAUAUCUGCUAUGUACAUGAAUUGAUAUUUUACACAAUUGCUUUGUAUUUUUAUUGCUUAAAAACCAAUGAUACUUCAUUGCAUGUUUUUUGGUUUUCUUUUAAUUAUUUAAUUCAUGUAGCAGUCAGAUAAAUGCUGAUGGAUGUGAAAAUCUGUAUGAUUCACUCUCGACUGACUGUCCAGAAUAUGUACAUGCAUGUAUUUAUAUUAUUAUAUGUUAUGAUGAGUGAAUGAAAUGGGAUUGAGAGAAUUAUAAUUAAAAGCUGUGAUUAGUAUGUAGGCUUUGUAAGAAAGUGUGCAUAUUUGAGAGAGAGAGAGAGAAACCCACAUCCUUUAUAUGCAUAAUUUUCUAUUCUUGUGAUAUUCUCUUUUGUUUAUUUCUUUAACCGAAUUAUCUUUAUUUUCUUAAGAUGCUUAUACCUGUAUAUCAAUCACAGAAUAUUCCAUAUAUAGGAAGUUUCAAACACCCUCAUUUAAUUAAUGUUUUUGGUUAACCGAUUGUCAAUAAAAUUUUGUUAUAUCUUGGUCAGUUGUUUCGGGUGUAACUGUGGAGAAGUUUUGACUGUAAAUAGUUAUAAAUCCUGUAAAAGUAUACAGGGAUUGGAUAGGAAAUCCAGAUACCUUCCUGAUCUUGAUAUUCUAGUCUAUGUGUGUGCAUCAGCAUAAUGUUUUAUAUGUUGUCUGUGUCAUUGCUAUUUUGUAGAGAGAAUUUGUAAGAGUUGUCUUUCCUUGCCUGUGCAAUAACAGCGCUUGUUGAGUUAACACAUUGAAAGAAAGAAGGGUGGGAUGGGUGGGGGAGGGGGUGGUUGGGGGCUACUCCAGUGUGCUAAAUUAACAUUAGAUUAAUAUUUUAUCAAAAGUUGUAUUAUUAAAAAACUUGUCAUUUUCUGAAAUAUCCAGUAUGUGUUAUUUAAACUGCAUCCUUAUGAUCACAUUGUUGAAUUAUCAAUUUUGUUUAAUAUAUUUACAAAUAUAUCUGCUGCACCAUUGGGGAUGUACACACAUUAAGCACAGGAAAGCAGUGUCAUGUGAUAUUUUGUGAAAUCCUAUCAGUAUGUAAAUACCUUCAAUCAUGAAUGUUUUCAUCAUGCAAUAAAUCAUGAAAUACUG